AGAGUUUGAUCCUGGCUCAGAAUGAACGUUGGCGGCGUGGAUCAGGCAUGCAAGUCGAACGAAUGCCGUCUGGGUAACUGGGCGGCGGAAGUGGCGAAAGGGGCAGUAAGGCGUGGAUAACUUGCCCCGGACUUCAGGAUAGCCUUUCUAACGAGAGGGUAAUACUGGAUGCCGUAGCGUGGUGGCAUCAUCGUGCUACGAAAGUUCCGACGGUCCGGGAGGGGUUCACGUGGUAUUAGCUAGUUGGUGGGGUAACGGCCUACCAAGGCCAAGAUGCCUAGCAGGUGUGAGAGCACGACCUGCGCCACUGGCACUGUGACACUGGCCAGACUCCUCCGGGAGGCUGCAGUCGAGGAUCUUCGGCAAUGGGCGAAAGCCUGACCGAGCGACGCCGCGUGUGCGAUGAAGGCCUUCGGGUUGUAAAGCACUGUCGAGGGGGAGGAAGGGCAACUUGACCGACCCCUGGAGGAAGCUCGGGCUAAGUUCGUGCCAGCAGCCGCGGUAAUUC
rnacentral:rRNA from 1 species